UUGAACGCUGGCGGCAGGCCUAACACAUGCAAGUCGAGCGGAUGAAGGGAGCUUGCUCCUGGAUUCAGCGGCGGACGGGUGAGUAAUGCCUAGGAAUCUGCCUGGUAGUGGGGGAUAACGUCCGGAAACGGGCGCUAAUACCGCAUACGUCCUGAGGGAGAAAGUGGGGGAUCUUCGGACCUCACGCUAUCAGAUGAGCCUAGGUCGGAUUAGCUAGUUGGUGGGGUAAAGGCCUACCAAGGCGACGAUCCGUAACUGGUCUGAGAGGAUGAUCAGUCACACUGGAACUGAGACACGGUCCAGACUCCUACGGGAGGCAGCAGUGGGGAAUAUUGGACAAUGGGCGAAAGCCUGAUCCAGCCAUGCCGCGUGUGUGAAGAAGGUCUUCGGAUUUUAAAGCACUUUAAGUUGGGAGGAAGGGCAGUAAGUUAAUACCUUGCUGUUUUGACGUUACCAACAGAAUAAGCACCGGCUAACUUCGUG
rnacentral:rRNA from 1 species